AGGUUAUAUUGUAUUUGAGUACUAAGGAUAAAAGCUGCGCGGAAAAGAACUAAUAUUUUGCCAGAAAGUGCACUACUGAUACCGCAAUGAGGACAACCACUCAGGCAGCUGUUUUCGGCUUGUUGAGCCUUCGUCAGCACCUUCAGCUGCAGCUGGUGGAGAGCUGGAGCUCUUGGAGCAGCCAACAUGUUGUAUGCGUAUUAUAAGGAGUCCACAAUAAAUUACGUGUCAAUUACAAGA